GACGAUGCGUAGGGGUUCUGAGAGGAAGGUCCCCCACAUUGGAACUGAGACACGGUCCAAACUCCUACGGGAGGCAGCAGUGAGGAAUAUUGGUCAAUGGCCGGAAGGCUGAACCAGCCAAGUCGCGUGAGGGAAUAAGGCCCUACGGGUCGUAAACCUCUUUUGUCAGGGAGCAAGGCCGCCCACGUGUGGACGGAAGGAGAGUACCUGGAGAAAAAGCAUCGGCUAACUCCGUGCCAGCAGCCGCGGUAAUACGGAGGAUGCGAGCGUUAUCCGGAUUUAUUGGGUUUAAAGGGUGCGUAGGCGGCCUGCCAAGUCAGCGGUAAAAUUGCGGGGCUCAACCCCGUACAGCCGUUGAAACUGCCGGGCUCGAGUGGGCGAGAAGUAUGCGGAAUGCGUGGUGUAGCGGUGAAAUGCAUAGAUAUCACGCAGAACCCCGAUUGCGAAGGCAGCAUACCGGCGCCCUACUGACGCUGAGGCACGAAAGUGCGGGGAUCAAACAGGAUUAGAUACCCUGGUAGUCCGCACAGUAAACGAUGAAUGCUAGCUGUCCGGGGGGAUUGACCCCUGG
rnacentral:rRNA from 1 species